rnacentral:snoRNA from 1 species
AACCCAGAUUCCAUCACCCACAGAUCUAAAAAUUGGUCUGAGGGGCUGAAAACAGGAGGAAAAGUAACCUGAGGUGGACUUGGGAGUCUUGAGUGACAUGCAAGUUCAUUGCAAACAUAU